CCAGCCUGCAAGGAGCACAGUAGUGCUUCAGAAGACUCUUCCCUUCUGACUGUUGCUUCUACAAGCUCAGUGGUAAGUACUCAAAAGCCCUUCACAGUACUGAAGCCAGCCUGAACCCUGUAACUCCUGGAACUCAGAGGRUGAAUUUGACCUCUGCAAUCUUCAAGGUAAGUAAGCAAACUUCAUUUGGUUUGGCAGGAUGGAUCAGGUGAGAAAUUGUUGCUGUCCUUUAUAAUAUCCUUCAGUUAACUGGAUGAGAAGGGGCUAUGUUGAUCCUCCUGUUCUGCAGUAGGAUUUUCAGUGCAUUGUGAAGAUCAAGCAUGUGAAGGUCACACACUCUGUGUCUCAGUUGUGUGUUUUUUACCUCUGGAGACAAAAACUUUUCAAAAAGGCAUGAUUGUGGUUAUUGCUACUUAUACUUCUG
rnacentral:lncRNA from 1 species